CGGAGGAUCCAAGCGUUAUCCGGAUUUAUUGGGUUUAAAGGGUGCGUAGGCGGCUUAUUAAGUCAGGGGUGAAAGACGGUGGCUCAACCAUCGCAGUGCCCUUGAUACUGAUGAGCUUGAAUGAACUAGAGGUAGGCGGAAUGUGACAAGUAGCGGUGAAAUGCAUAGAUAUGUCACAGAACACCGAUUGCGAAGGCAGCUUACUAUGGUUUUAUUGACGCUGAAGCACGAAAGCGUGGGGAUCAAACAGGAUUAGAUACCCUGGUAGUCCACGCCCUAAACGAUGAAUACUCGCUGUUAGCGAUAUACAGUUAGCGGCUAAGCGAAAGCGUUAAGUAUUCCACCUGGGGAGUACGCCCGCAAGGGUG
rnacentral:rRNA from 1 species